UACGUAGGUGGCAAGCGUUGUCCGGAAUUAUUGGGCGUAAAGCGCGCGCAGGCGGUUUCUUAAGUCUGAUGUGAAAGCCCACGGCUCAACCGUGGAGGGUCAUUGGAAACCGGGAAACUUGAGUACAGAAGAGGAGAGUGGAAUUCCACGUGUAGCGGUGAAAUGCGUAGAUAUGUGGAGGAACACCAGUGGCGAAGGCGACUCUCUGGUCUGUCACUGACGCUGAGGCGCGAAAGCGUGGGGAGCAAACAGG
rnacentral:rRNA from 1 species